rnacentral:rRNA from 1 species
AGAGUUUGAUCCUGGCUCAGGACGAACGCUGGCGGCGUGCCUAAUACAUGCAAGUCGAGCGAACUUGCGGGAGCCUGCUCCCAAAAGUUAGCGGCGGACGGGUGAGUAACACGUGGGCAACCUGCCUAUAAGACUGGGAUAACUUCGGGAAACCGGAGCUAAUACCGGAUGAUUCUUUUCUACACAUGUAGGAAAGCUGAAAGACGGUUUACGCUGUCACUUAUAGAUGGGCCCGCGGCGCAUUAGCUAGUUGGUGAGGUAACGGCUCACCAAGGCCACGAUGCGUAGCCGACCUGAGAGGGUGAUCGGCCACACUGGGACUGAGACACGGCCCAGACUCCUACGGGAGGCAGCAGUAGGGAAUCUUCCGCAAUGGACGAAAGUCUGACGGAGCAACGC